GAUGAACGCUGGCGGCGUGCUUAACACAUGCGAGUCGAACGAUGAAGCCCAGCUUGCCGGGUGGAUUAGUGGCGAACGGGUGAGUAACACGUGAGUAACCUGCCCUUAACUCUGGGAUAAGCCUGGGAAACUGGGUCUAAUACCGGAUAGGAGCGUCCACCGCAUGGUGGGUGUUGGAAAGAUUUAUCGGUUUUGGAUGGACUCGCGGCCUAUCAGCUUGUUGGUGAGGUAAUGGCUCACCAAGGCGACGACGGGUAGCCGGCCUGAGAGGGUGACCGGCCACACUGGGACUGAGACACGGCCCAGACUCCUACGGGAGGCAGCAGUGGGGAAUAUUGCACAAUGGGCGCAAGCCUGAUGCAGCGACGCCGCGUGAGGGAUGACGGCCUUCGGGUUGUAAACCUCUUUCAGUAGGGAAGAAGCGAAAGUGACGGUACCUGCAGAAGAAGCACCGGCUAACUACGUG
rnacentral:rRNA from 1 species